GAGGCGGGGCUGUUCUGCCACGCAGCAGCUCAGCCGCCACCUGUCGACCAAGAGCCCGCGCCCGGGUCUCCAGCUGGGAGCGAGUCACAUGGGCCCCAGCGUCUAGCCCAGAUCAGGAUCCUCGCAGACGCCAACGCGGGCAAAACAGGAAGGGUGAAAAAUGUGUCUCCACAGAAGACCUGAGAUAUGUCAUUUUUCCUUUCCCUGUAACAAGGUAACAAUCUCCCACACUGAGUUUGAGGAAGGAUUAAGAAGCUUAAUAUCUAAAGAUGUUUAACAACUGAGGUUUGGAGACCUACAAUUAGAGAGACAGAUGGUCUAAGAAGACAAACAGUAUUUUGUCCCUAGUUCUCCAAGGUCAAUGAGGACCCAUGACGGAAGAGAACCUCUGCUGCAUCAUUCUAUAUUAAGUGAGUCCCUAGUCUUCUGACCAAGAAGACUGUGAGACCACUGAGGAAACUGAUGAUCAUUGGUGUGUGGUCUGCCUAAGGAGAGUCACCAGGAGCAAAAAUCUCCCAAGCGUUCACAGACUCAUCCAAACAGCUGACACUGAUGGAAGAACUAAGAGGUGUCAUAGCUGGUUCCAAGGUAUUCCUGAGAAGACUUAACUGACCUGGAUAGAUAACAAAAAUUGAUUGUGUUUAAAACAGGUCUCACCUUAACUUGGUCUUGAACAUCCGGAAAGUGUACAACUACUAGAAGUAUAUAAAACAAUGCUAAAGUAAUAUGUUAAAAAGAAACUCAAAUCACUAAUAACUUUUGGCAAUUGCCAGCUGCACUGGUAGCUGACUACUGUCACAGAUUAAUGGACUGCACAGGGUUUCAAUUGUGCAAUGCAGGGACUUAAAAUCUUUGGACUGCACUUAAAAAGACCUACUGAGCUCUCCAACACAGCUCCUUCACACCUUCAAUUGGCCACCCCUCCUUUGCAGCAACAAAACAAAAAAGAGGGAUAGAUAGGGAGCUGUUGAAGCUGGAGCUUGAUCACAUGUGUGAGGCUAAAGCAAAGCCAGCCCAGAAAAACUGAAAGACCAAAACAGGCUAUAUAAACAAAUUGUUCCAGCACCAAGAAGGCAAGGGGCCCAGGCCUGCCAAGCAAUGUGUUGCUAGGCAGAAGAGCAGAAAUUGACAUCAUCUUUCCCAGUAGAUAAAUAAAGGUGCUACAGUGGUUGAGCAGUUCCUUCGGUCCCAUCAGAGGUUAAGGGCUUCACCUGAUGGUAGCUUUGUCUCUUCUUUGUUUUUCUCCUCCCCUUGCUGGUCCUUAACCCCAAGAACCUCAGGAGCUGCACCAGAAGAGGGCAAUUAAAAUCUCCAGUGGAUCACUGCCACGUGGAAAUGUGGCCUUGCUAUUUUCUGGGUCUUCUAGCUUUUCAAGAAAUCUGAAACUCUGCUUAAUAAAUCAAUUUAUAAAAAAUUACUAAUUAGGGGUUGGAGACUUAGCUCAGUGGCGUAAGUGCCUGCCUGACAAGUGUGAGGUCGUGAGUUCGAUCCCUGGUACAAAAAAAAAAAAAAAAAAAAAAAAUUACUAAUAAGGCAAGCAAAAGAAAAAAGUCUGGGUUUUCAAAAUACCAGUUUGUAAUCUCUGAAAAGACCCCUGAAUCACAUGAUGUGACAAGUCCAAUAAUUUCCUUUAAAAUAGACUUUCCUCCCAAACCAGUUCCACCACUGAAUGGAGCUUUGAAGUGCUUCUUGCUGUGAUGUCUAGAACUCCGGGAGCUUCCUCUACAGGCGGGAUGUGAUCUCUGUUUUUAGGGAUCAUAUUCAAUUUUACUCAUUCAACCAACAUCUACUAAGCCGAGGUCCGCUCUGUGGUUACAUGGUCUGUGCUUUUAGAGACAGACUGUACCAGGAGCAAGAAUAACAGAUACAUAAUCACAUUAACAAAUAUAGGCUAUCUAACUGAUGCCUACCAAGAACGCAGAGCAAGAGGUGCAAGAGAUGAAUGUGGGAGGGGACUCAUUUAGCUUGUGGGAGCAUUCAGAGAAGGUCUGGAGAGACCCAGGUAAAGACACCAGGAAGCCUCUGGGCUAGAGGCCAUGUGUGCAGGAUCAUGCUGACUUGGGUGUACAGUAGCAGGGCAGGGAGCCUGGGAGAAGGACAGGAGAGUGAACUGCUGAACUGUGGGCUGGAUCCUUGAGAGAAUCCCUGAUGUCAUCUGUGAGGCUCAAAGAUCACCUUGUUUCUGAGUACUAAGGUGGGAGUGGAUAAGAGGAGAGAGUGAGAAUACUGCAGAUGAAGAAGGAUGGAAGAUGGGACACAUGAGAUGGGCAGCACAGAAAGUAACUGACACAUACAUUGGGCAUAGAGCUAACCAGAAACACGACUGUGUUUCUGUUACGUACUAUCACUUGGAAUAAAGAGAGAAUUACUUGUUGCCUUCCGAAGCAAAGCUCCUGGUUAGAGUAGACCUAGGCUAAGCAUGAUAGUUUCUUCAUUUCUCAACUGCUGUGAAUGAACCCCCCUUUCUGAGCUAAGCUGUCUGGCUGGUUAUACUUACAAACCUCAUCUAGCAUUGUUCAGAGUCUACAGCUUAAUACUUGUCUUUCUGAACUUGGUUCUUUUAAUCAAGUAGUUUCUAAGCAGGUAAAAUAUCUGCUAUGCCUGGGCUUCAUUCUAGGUGAGCUUGAAUCCCAGAAAUUCUCCAAGAAAGCCUCUGUGGAAAGUAGUGAGACUAGCUAUUUAUUAAGUGCCUGGAGCUGUUCUAAGUGUGUUAAGUAUGGUUAAUCCAAUUGACUGACUUAAUGUUCACCCCAUUUUGCAGAUGAUAGAGGCACAGAGAGAUUAAAUAAUUUGCUCGGGUUGUUGUUGGUACAAAUUUGAGUAAUGAACCCAAGCAACAUGUUGUGAAAUCUGUACACUUAAAUUAUAAUCCUGAGUGUCAACACUGCAUGAUAGAGUUAGAUAGAAGGGUGCCAUGUUUAUAAUUCAUCCUGUGUUUUGGGGAAAAGUCAUGAAUGCCUGCCCACUCUUAUCCCUAGCAAUCCAUCCAGCAUCACUACAGAGGAGAAGCUUCCUAGGUAGACCUGCCUUAGUGUCUGUGUGGCCAGUGGGACUUUGCUCUAACCUCCCGCUCAAAGAAGCAGGAGUGACUGAAGAUUGGAGCAAGGAGCAACCUGUGCUCCAGAAAAGGCCUGUUAAAAGGGUGCUGCAAAUGUUGAAGUAGCCAUAAAUGAAGGGCUUCUCCUGUUUGUGAACUAAGCUCAUAAGCAGGUUCCCCACUGGGCUUUGCCCACAGGACACAGAUACAAUUGGCCUAUAAAUAGCAAAAGGCCUGUAGGAGGGAUGUGCAGAGUCUAGCGAGGAAGAUGGACAAGCCAGCAGGCAGUGAUAAACACAGAGACACCAGAGCCUCACUUCCACACUGAAUUUCCUGUCUCAAAAAUCCCCUCUGAACAGCAGGGAAUUUUUCUGAUAAGGAGGCUCCUUAGGAGGUUGCAAAUGCCUCAGUAAGCAUUUUCCUGAUAAGAACCCUAUAGGACUCCUAGGCUUGCCAGAAAGCUGACAGAUGCUAGCCAGAAGCUUCUCUCAGCGUGCACUUCCAGGGUGCUGGUGUGUGUGAAACCCUCAACAGGCAGAGGAAACUAGCUCCCUGAUGGUGGGCUUCAGCGACACAUGGGCCUGUGCUCUGCUCUUCCAUCAGACCAGUAAUGAGGUCCCUAUUCCUCAAGGCCCCAUAAAUGCCAUCUUAUGACAGGGGAAAAUAUAUUUAAUGAAGUCUGUGUUCUUUGUCAUUGCUUUGCUUUGUCUUUCCAGUGCUUAAAUUUGUAAGAAACAGCUCCUGCCAGUCAAUCUAGGGUGGUGAUUUCUAAAGUACAUUGCAUGAAAGUAGUCUUAUGGCAUCGUGUUUUUCCAUUACUAACUAACCCUUCCUCCAAAAGUGUUCUGACUUUACUUAAGUUUAAGGUGCUUGAGACAAACCUCUAGUAACAAGGAGUACAUUAACCCAGAAAAAAAGCCCAAGGCCCCCAGGAGCCAUGCUUGGCUCAUAAUAAGUAAUUAGUACAAAUCUUUACAGAAGGGUCUGAGCCCAAUACUCAGCAUUGUAAAUGCUUAGCCAUAACUUUGUAGUUAAAAGAGAAAAGCUAUGGAUUUUGUUCUUCAGCAAAACAUUCCUUUAAUGAUUAAGCUAUAGACAUUUUUCAGGCUCAUUUCCUUUCUAAUUGAGAAACCAGCGAUUUGGAAGAGGCUUUGAGGACCCCUACAAAAAACUUACUGACCUGUUUCUGACUUCACUGGAGCAUGUGCAGUUGAUGCUGCCAAGGGUAAGCUUAGAUUAUCCUAGCACAAACAUGUCUGUCUACCUUUGCAGAGAGUGAGCAUAUGGGGAGAGAGGCUCCUGCUUUCUGGACAGUCAUUAAUAAGUCACUUAGAAAUCAUAUCAAUGUACUCUGCAAAUCAUUGAUUCUUUGCAAAUACACAAAGCAGCAUCAAAUAUUUCUCAAUAUUUACUAUGCAUCAGUGCCAAACUAGGUGUUUUCAUGCUGGCUGUCUCAUUGGCUCUUCUUAACAGUUCUUUAGGUAAAGGAAAUAUUAUAUUCAUUUUGAUUUUGGAAAAAAAAACCCUAAAGAUUGAGAAUUGAGUUAAAAUGUCUGACUGCUGGUUUCCUGUUGGAGAACUUUUGAGAACAGAUCUGGGUGCCCAUUAUAUUAUUUCAGAGUGUCAGAAAAGUAAAUACUGUCAAAGACCCACCUAUGACCUAUGACCCCAACCCCCCAAGAAUUGGACAGUGCUUCUGCCUCUGACCUAACAUUCUGAAUAUUGAAAAUAGAGUUGUUGACUUAGAUUUUCCAAGCACACAGGACUGGGAGAUAAACUUUCACCUUCACCUGUGAGGAAAUUCCUUCUCUCAUACUCUGUAUCCCAUCAAAAGACCAUCUUCUUCAAGUGACCUUUAUUGACUAUUUUAUUGGAAUUUAAUGGAGAAUGCAGAAAUAUUAAGGCAACUCCUUUAGUUCUCUUCAUCUUACCACGUUCUGGAGGUGAGUGGUGUACCUUUAUAUUUAGCAUCCUAUUAAGGCUAAUUAUAUUUCUGAAUCAAAGAGAUCAUUUAAAUUAAAAGGGAAAUGAUUAAGCUGAGGAGAGUCUGAUUCGCUAGUGAGACAGCAACCAAAACAAAGCUAAAUGUAGAACCAGGAUUUCCAUAACUAGGGAGAUGCAGGAUCAGGUCUUAGGAGGGUAGAUGGAUAGAAGAGGAGGAGGCUCUCCUCUCCUGCUAGGUAUUCUAUUCCCUCAAGAAGAACACCUAAGAGCCCUGCCCUUGGUGCUGAAGCAUCUUUCCCACAAGUCUGCAUGGCUGCUCAGAAAACCAUGCUAUGGCUUGGUGCUUCAGAUAUGCUGUUCCUUAUUUAUUGGCUAACGUCACAGGGUUCACACUGUAAAAAGAAAUUAACUCAGAUAUGUUGGAUUUAACUCCAUCACUCUGUCACUCAUUGGCAUGGCUGUAUAUCAGAAAUAAAGAAGCCUGACUGAAUUUGAGGCUCACAGUACCUCGUGUGAUCAGUCCAUAUUACCUCUAUUCUCCAGUGUGAAGCUACAAGCUGUGAAAAAUAUGCUUUAGCUUAGGAGACACAGGCUUUGGGAUAUGUUUUACUAACUUUACAUUUUCUGAUAUGUGGUUGGAUACUAAGUUCUUUCCUGAGAUUAUAUAAUAGAUUGAAAUUCACUGUUUUGGUUGAAAUAGGAGAAGCAUCUAAAACUCCAAUCAUAUGGUCCUAUCCACGGAAAAACCAUCAAGAGUCAAUACGGAUACCUUUAGAGAUUAUGAUACAAGCCUUGGGAUACAUUUUAGUCCAAUGCUUUGCUAGUUUGAUUCCUAUUUAACCUCACUUUUCCUCCACAAAAAUAUUUCCUUAAUUCUAUAGAGUUAAGGACUGGGCUUCCUCAAUCCUGUGCUUCCUUCUAUUACCACAUGGACAACAUUGUUCGAUAAUUAUGUGUGAUACGAAUAAAGUAGGUCCAAGGGACUACUGGGAAGUUGGUGUCUAAUGGUAUUUUCACUUCAGCACUCCCAAAACUUCCAGAGACGGGGAACUACCCUAAACUGAGGCAGUCCACUCUAUGUUAAAGCUGCCACAAUAGUUAAAAUCUACCUCUUAAUUUUGAGCCAAAAUAUGUCUAGCUGUAUCUCCCACUUUCUAGGAUUAUACAUAACAAACAUUGUGUGUUUUCUCCAUUGGAACCUUCAAGUACCUAGAAAAGAUAACAUCAAAGCCCUUGUUCCUCUGUUCCUCACGAGCCACUGUCCUUAGUUCUUUUACCUGCUUGUAUUAUUUGACUCACAAGGAGACCUAUUCUAUAUCUCUUUUAAAGUCUGGAGUUGGGUUAUAAAGUUUGCAUAAGCACCUCACAUUUAUUCCUGUUAAUGAGUUAAAUUAUUCUCUAGUUUCAUCCCAUUUCUCAGGUUGGAAUUUCUCCUAGGUUUUUUUCUUUUAUACUUUUAGGAUCCUUCUCUAGCUAACAUUGGAAAAUUUCUACAUUCAAAAAUAAAGAGAUGCCUUAUAGCCCUUUGCUUCCUUUUUUAGAAGAAUGACUGAUGAUGUGAAG